AUAUGAAGCGCGAGAAACAAAUAAAAUUAAUAUGUGGCGGUAAAAUAGAGUUCUGUGUAUUUAAAUAGCAGUGUCUCAUUACACUUCUCACCACAAAGCAAAGACAACGUUCAUCCUUUUCUCUCUUAUAGUCUACAUUCUGCUGUUUCAUGACUGUGAAACUACGGUAUUGGGUUGUGUCGAAUUGAAAAUUGGGUUCAAUUUUCAGAUUCUUCUAUUGUGCUUGUUCUUUGGACUUGAUAGAAGGAAGAAAGGUCCAGAAGAAAAUGGUGGAGCACUGACACUUAGAGUUCUGGGAAAACUCCUUUAAUUGAUCAAUGAACAAGCCAAGGAAGUUGAAGCAAAGAAUUUACACAAGAAGUCCUUCAUCAAGCUUACAUGCCAUCCCGC